AAUGCCUGCAGUAUCUUCGCUGCACAUACUGGGGAACGGCACCCUCAGAGCUGCCCAGGAGCCCUAUGGGCCGAGCAGAGGUAGCUUUCUCCUCCAGCACCUUCCCAGAACUCUCAGGAAGGUGGACUUGGUUCCAAGUCGCUUGGUGGACCUUGACGACUGGGGCCAGCAUAGGGAGGAUGCCGGGUGGAGCUUGGCAGCGUGAUUUCUGUAACUUUUGCUCAAAUGGCCAAAAAAGACAGGCUUACCUUAGAGGAUUCUCUUUUAAUUCUACUCGUCUCUUGUUGAAGCUUCUGAAAAGAUUGCUGUUGAGGAGAGAGAUUAAGAAAAGCGGUGUGUGCUGUGCGUCCCCCAUCCAGGGAGAGUGAGGGGCACAGCACAGAUAUGGUUCUCUCUGUGUAAGUGGGGAAGCGUGGAUAUACAGAAAUGGGAGUGAACAGAUAAUUCUGGAAAAAGAAGAAAAGUGCCUAGAACAGGAGGGACUGAGCCCUCUCCCGUCACAGUAAGCAGACAGACAGAGGGUCCAGCAGUGUGUGACAAUGUGAGGGAUUUACACACCGUCCUGGCGGGGAGCUGACGGGCUCUCUCUGUUCCCUCUCUCCUGACGGAUGAAACCUUGGAAGAACCCACUGAUUAGGAGGCGUCAUGGAGGCCUGAGGAACAAUAAUAAAACAGUCAACAGGAGUGCGGUGUUUCUUAUGUUCCAGACACUGUUAUGAGUGCUUUACCUGCAUCCACUCAUUUAGGGCUGACAGCAAGCCUAUAAAAGAGGAACUAGCAUUCUCCUCACUUACAGCAGUAGAAACCGAGACAGAGAAGGGAGUCUUGGCUUAAGUUCAGGUUGUCUGAGACCAGAGUCCAUGCUAUUAAUGACUGAAUGUUAAAUUGUUAAAUAGGAAGAAACAAAUUAAGGCAACAGUCAGUCAAGGUAGGAAAUGCUGUAGCCCAGAUUUGUGGGACGUCAGACCAGGGGGUGGGGAGCCCUGCUGGAGGAGCUGGGGUCGGGGGUCAAGGGCAGCCAGCAGGGGGAGGCUUCUCUUUGUAUCUUAUCAGAGCCACAAGGCCCGAGUCAUCAAGUCCCACCCUACCCCAGCUGCUACGGCAAGAGCACUCUCGUGGGCAUCAAGGGAAGGAGGUCCCUGCCCUGUGGAUCCCAGCUGGAUCCCGGGCUGACUCCAGGUGGUGGGAGGGAGACGUGGCCUCUGCUGGUGCCGGGUUUGGGGUCUCAGGGCUGACUGCUCACGGUGCAAGUUAGAGACACGUCCAGUGGGAGGAUGAGCCGCCGGCUUUGUGGCUGCUGUUGACGGGGAGAUACCAAAUGGGUAACGGAAUUGCCUCCCAGCCACCCGUGGGCCUGGGAGGGGAACUCAGUGGGCUCCCCAGCGACGGACACAACCUCAGAACAGUGUCUCCGGCAUGACCCAGGGAAGGGUUAUCACUGGGCUUUUGCUGUCUCGCCUCACCAAGGAGGAAGUGGGCUGCCGGAGCGGUCCAGUUUGCUCACAGCCGUGCAGCUGGCACACGCAGAGCCAGCUCCAUCCAGCCAUGGCCUUGUCCUCCGGCCCCCGGCUCCGCCAGAGACUCCACGCCGAGACCCGGCUAGUUCUCGUGGUGUGGAAUCACACGGCCUCCCCGUUUCUAAUUAAGCUUGGGUGUAUUGAAUGCCCCAACCUCAGCUCAAAGGUAUUUGAUGUUUCCCAUGCAGUACGAUUGAACAUAGGUGUGACUGAAAUGAUCUGGGCAGAAAUGACUCAUGGCUCACUUUUGUCUACGGAUGGCAGAGGUGGUGCUUCAGGACCGAGUGAGUGAAAUCAAAGGGAAGGAAUUGAGCAUCUUGAAGCCAGCCAAAGGGAAGGAGGAUCAUGUUAAGGUCUAUCAGCGUGAUGGGGAAGGCCAGACACCAAGGCAGAGCUACGUCACCUGGAACACACAGAAGGCUUCCAGGGGCGCCAGAUGGGUCUUGGCUCAGGGCAUCCACCGUCAGGAUGAACACUACCUUCUGCAGGAUGGCCUCUCUCUGGCUCAUUCCUAACCACCAGUGGCUUCCUGUGCCUGCCUGUGGCCCCAGCUCCUGCUCAAUUUUGACUUCUGUAGUUCUAGGUUUACUUUAUGACUCUUAAGAAGUAAUUUCUUCUGUCAAUAGGAAAUUCUUCUCUGGUUCAUGGUUCAUAUUUGAGAGAGAGAGAGAAUAUAAUUGGUUCAGCUCUUUGUCCUCCCAUUUUCUUUUGAAAACAUAUGGGUCACAGGUCACUGGGAAGGUACCAGUUGGUUCUUUUUGUGGGUCCAUCUCCAGCCCUUGGUCCAGUGGGCUGUGUGGGAGAAGCCUGGGUGGCGAGGAAUGGUUGAAAAAUAGACCAUCUGAUCACCAAGGCCUUUCCGUGGGUCGGUUUUCCUCUUGCAAAGAGCAUGGUCUAAGUAGGCCCCAAGGACCCACUGAUACAGCCGGCAUUCGUGGGCAUGUGUGAGUGUUUUUAGAAGAGCUAUAAGCUAUCUGUAAACUAUACCUUCCAUGGGAGUCUAGAAAAAGCUUGGAGGAGGUGAGAAACAUGUCUUGGGCUCCAACAGUCCAACACACAUUUUUCAAUUCCAGGACAAAGCCGUGGCUGUCCUGGCUGUUGCAGAGUGAGAUGAGAGACACCCCUGCAGCCUCCAGGCCUGCCCUGGGCUCCCAGCUUCACGCCCCACUCUGGAACCCAAACCCUCUGCCUUCUGCACUAUCGCACCAGUGCACGUGCACACAUAUACACGAGCAUGCCAGGAGGCGGGAGCAAGAAUACAGUGGGUGCUGGAGAAGAUGUGAAGCUGCCUAGCAGUCUUGCUAGGCCAUCUCCGGAUGCCCAUCUCUCGUUGGCCUGAACCGAGAAGCCAGGAACAGCCCCUACCCUUUCAGACAGAAAUGCCUACAGAGCUGCUAUUGUUUCCCUCAGGUAACAAAUGCCACAGGCCUGGGCCCGCCAAGCCAUCCCGGAGCCCAGCUGCUUCCGCGCCAUCAAAUGAGAAGGGUGCUUUGUUUUAAUUGUCACGUUUGUUGUUUGGAAGGAUGCUUUUUGACCACGUAGUUGUGUGGGUGACCUUUCAUAAGAAUUGCAUGCAGCUGUCCCAGCGGAAGGCUGCGAUUGGUCUGGAAAGGUGAUCUCCAUUCGUCCAGACUGCCGCUUCACAAAGCAGAAGGUUCAGGCAGGGCGCUGGGGCUGGGCGCAGCAGAGGAGAAGGUCUCCCCCGUCUCGGCAACGGAGCCCCUGAGCAGGUGCAGGCACUGCUUCCAUUUGCUUCUGGCCUCCCGCGUUUUACCUCGGCCUGGAAUAACCCUCUGGCUGAGGUGCCACCCUGAGCUUUCCUGUUUCCUCUGAACAGGCUCUCUUUGAGCAGAUGUAAUACACCCUCCAACCGCCCUGAGAUGAACCACGCAGAGGAAUCACCUUUCUGAGCCACUGAGGCUCUGUUAACAGGUUCUUAAAGAGCUUGUGGAGGGGACAGCAUAUUGAUGCUUCACCCCCCAAACAGCUCUAUUUAAAUAACUGCCCUUUCGGAGCCAAAAGAAAAAAUAAAAUUCUCUCUGGAAACUCAGCUGAGAUUAAUGCGUUCCUUAUUACCAUGGAGCAAUCUGAUAA